rnacentral:rRNA from 1 species
CCUACGGGAGGCAGCAGUAGGGAAUAUUGCUCAAUGGGGGAAACCCUGAAGCAGCAACGCCGCGUGGGGGAUGAAGGUUUUAGGAUUGUAAACUCCUUUUGUUAGAGAAGAGAAUGACGGUAUCUAACGAAUAAGCACCGGCUAACUCCGUGCCAGCAGCCGCGGUAAUACGGAGGGUGCAAGCGUUAUUCGGAACUACUGGGCGUAAAGGGCGCGUAGGCGGGAUAGCAAGGCAGAUGGGAAAUCCUAUGGCUUAACCCUAGAACUGCAUUUGAAACUGUUAUUCUAGAGUAGGGGAGAGGUAGGUGGAAUUCUUGGUGUAGGGGUCAAAUCCGUAGAGAUCAAGAGGAAUACUCAUUGCGAAGGCGACCUGCUAGAACAUAACUGACGCUGAUGCGCGAAAGCGUGGGGAGCAAACAGGAUUAGAUACCCGGGUAGUC